rnacentral:rRNA from 1 species
GACGAACGCUGGCGGCGUGCCUAAUACAUGCAAGUCGAGCGCUCAGAGGUGGUACUUGUACCAACUGCAUUAGCAGCGGACGGGUGAGUAACACGUGGAUAAUCUGCCUUUGAGCGUGGGACAACUUUGGGAAACGAAUGCUAAUACCGCAUAAUAUCUUUAAACACAAGUUUUAAUUUUGAAAGAUGCAAUUGCUUUACUCAAUAGAUAGCUCGCGUUGUAUUAGGUUGUUGGUGAGGUAAACGGGCACCCAGGCGAUGAUAGAUUGGCGAACUGGGGGGGUGGUCCGCCCACAUGGGAAUGAGAAAAGGGCCAAAACCCUUAGGGGAGCAGCAGUAGGGAAACCUCGGCAAAGGGGGAAAGUCUGACCGAGCAAAGCCGGGUGAGUGAAGAAGGGUUUCGGAUCGUAAAAAUCUGGUGGUAGGGAAGAAAGAUAGGGAGAAUGGAAAGUGCACGAAGUGACGGUACCUAAUCAGAAAGGGACGGCUAACUACGUG